rnacentral:rRNA from 1 species
UACGAAGGGGGCUAGCGUUGUUCGGAAUUACUGGGCGUAAAGCGCACGUAGGCGGAUAUUUAAGUCAGGGGUGAAAUCCCAGAGCUCAACUCUGGAACUGCCUUUGAUACUGGGUAUCUAGAGUAUGGAAGAGGUGAGUGGAAUUCCGAGUGUAGAGGUGAAAUUCGUAGAUAUUCGGAGGAACACCAGUGGCGAAGGCGACUCGCUGGACAGACAUUGACGCUGAGGUGCGAAAGCGUGGGGAGCAAACAGG